rnacentral:lncRNA from 1 species
GUAAGAUUACAUCAUAUAUUUUAAUUGUUAUGAAAUGGCAGUUAAGUGUCAUAUUUCUGGCUGAGUUGCACUCUUGUUGCUCAGGCUAGAGUGCAGUGGAGUGAUCUUAGCUCACUGCAACCUCCGUCUCCUGGAUUCAAGUGAUUCUCCUGCCUCAGUCUCCCAGUAGCUGGGAUUGCAGGCAACCACCACCAAGCCUGGCUAAUUUUUUUGAUCUCCCAGUCUUGUUUUUCUGAAGAAGGUAAACAAAUCACAGAUUCUGCCUAUGAGGAUUACAGUAUCACAGGAAUACAAAGCACAUGCACAUAUAAAUACAUACAGGUAGGUAAAUACAUUUUGUAGUAAAAGUAUAAAUAAAGAUAGAUAUUAUUUAAUAUUUGGAGAUGGAAGAAGCACA